UACGUAGGCAGCAAGCGUUGCUCGGAGUUACUGGGCGUAAAGGGUGCGUAGGCGGUUGUUUAAGUUUGGUGUGAAAUCUCCCGGCUCAACCGGGAGGGUGCGCCGAAUACUGAACGGCUAGAGUGCGGGAGAGGAGAGUGGAAUUCCUGGUGUAGCGGUGAAAUGCGUAGAUAUCAGGAGGAACACCGGUGGUGUAGACGGCUCUCUGGACCGUAACUGACGCUGAGGCACGAAAGCGUGGGUAGCAAACAGG
rnacentral:rRNA from 1 species